GCACAAGCAAUAUGUGACUGGAAGGGGUGAAACAGGAUCUAUCAAUUUCUAGACUUCAUUUAAGGGAUGGCUGUGGAGCUCAGCUGUCCACUGUUUCUGGGGGAAGAAAAUGCACCUGUGAGUGCAUUUGGAUAUUCUUAGUACUGUCUGUUAUAGCAGUCUUCAGCAAUUUUGGAACCAUUUUCACCAAAGGGGAGCAGGAGAAAAGAGGAAUGAAGACUCCAGAGCAAAAUCAUCAGAUUAUCUUGCAGGAAUAUCUGAAAGGAGAAGAGUGAGAAGUUUCCUAGAAGGCAGUUUCGGGGUCCUGUAUCCAAUGUGAUGUUAGCUUUAAGGUUUCCUUGACCUUGAAAAGGUCAAUCUUUAGGCGGUUGAGCUGAAAGGCUGAAAGAAGUUGUGUUUUGCUAUCGAGUUGCAGGACUAACUGUUAAUCUUUUGCUUCUCCAUAAAUUAAAAAAAAAAAAAAAGAA